AUUGAACGCUGGCGGCAGGCCUAACACAUGCAAGUCGAACGAGUGGCGGACGGGUGAGUAAUGUCUGGGAAACUGCCUGAUGGCGGGGGAUAACUACUGGAAACGGUAGCUAAUGCCGCAUACCAUCAGAUGGGCCCAGAUGGGAUUAGCUUGUUGGUGGGGUAACGGCCCACCAAGGCGACGAUCCCUAGCUGGUCUGAGAGGAUGACAAGCGACACUGGAACUGAGACAUGCGCCAGACGCCUACGGGAGGCAGCAGUGGGGAACAGUGCACAAUGGGGGCAAGCAUGAUGCAGCCAUGCCGCGUGUAUGAAGAAGGCCUUCGGGUUGUAAAGUACUUUCAGCGGUGAGGCGUUACCCGCAGAAGAAGCACCGGCUAACUCCGUGCCAGCCGCCGCGGUAAUUC
rnacentral:rRNA from 1 species